rnacentral:rRNA from 1 species
CACGGAGUUAGCCGAUGCUUUUUCUUCGGAUACACGCAGUCCGGGACACGUCCCGGGUUUUGUUCUCCGACAAAAGAGGUUUACAACCCAUAGGGCCGUCCUCCCUCACGCGGCUUGGCUGGUUCAGGAUCUCUCCCAUUGACCAAUAUUCCUCACUGCUGCCUCCCGUAGGAGUCUGGUCCGUGUCUCAGUACCAGUGUGGGGGACCUUCCUCUCAGAACCCCUACGCAUCGUCGCCACGGUGGGCCGUUACCCCGCCGUCAAGCUAAUGCGCCGCAUGCCCAUCCUCUUCCGAUGAAUCUUUCCUCGAUCUCGGAUGCCCGAAACCGAUAUACGCGGGAUUAGCCUCCCUUUCGGAAGGUUGUCCCCCUGAAGAGGGCAGGUUGCAUACGUGUUACUCACCCGUGCGCCGGUCGCCGGCAAGGAAAGCAAGCUUUCCUCCCGAUGCCCCUCGACUUGCAUGUGUUAAGCCUGCCGCUAGCGUUCAUCCUGAGCCAGGAUCAAACUCU